UACAGAGGGUGCGAGCGUUGUUCGGAAUUAUUGGGCGUAAAGGGCGCGUAGGCGGCGCCACAAGUCACUUGUGAAAACUCUGGGCUCAACCCAGAGCCUGCAGGCGAAACUGUGGUGCUGGAGUAUGGGAGAGGUGCGUGGAAUUCCCGGCGUAGCGGUGAAAUGCGUAGAUAUCGGGAGGAACACCUGUGGCGAAAGCGGCGCACUGGACCAUAACUGACGCUGAGGCGCGAAAGCUAGGGGAGCAAACAGG
rnacentral:rRNA from 1 species